CCAACUAACAACAUCAUGAUUUCAAACAUUUUCCAUUCACAUUCCUAAAACUUUACACUUCCAAAACACAUGCUUCGUUACGCCAACACUUUAGAUCCCACCGCACUAUGAUUCAAUGUGACUUCCUUUGGAUUUCAAUACCAUGCGAUUUGGAAAUCAUUUUAUUUUACUUUUCGUUUUGCGCCACUGUUUCGUACCAGUGUAUUUCAAGCGGUUGACACUCGAAAAUCGAAUGCAAAGGUAUUCGAUCAAACCUCUUAGGAUCAAAAUCAAACAAACAAAGGAAUCAUGGCUGGUAAAGACGCUAAAUUUGGAGUUAAUGCAAAAUCCAAUCUAAGUGCGCUUGGAUUUCCGCCUAAGAUAAUUGACAUCAUAAACCAAUACGGAAUAGAUGAAACCGAUGUACCAGCUGUAGUGACUUUUCUGUCGCAUUUGAAAAUCGCCACAGUAACAGAGGACGAUCAUCAGCUGUCGAUUGCGUUUCCGCAUCACACUAUCGAGGAAGAAAGGAGUUACUCGCAGUAUCCUCCAGCCCGAUCAGAAUCAGGCAGGCAUCGCAUCAUACGAUGAUCUUUGCGCUAACUUAUCGGUGUUUGAAACAGAAUCUCCGAAGCUGGCCAUAGAUUCGGCAACCACGACGGUUCCAAUCCAGCCUUCAUGCAAUACAAAUACUGCGGAAAAAGCAGCAGCAGAAGAGGAUACAGGAUCGGUGGUAAAAACGUUUCACUGGGUGCCAUUAGAGGAAACAACCAAAACGCUGUUGCUUUCACUUGCCGUACCGGACACGGCUCCACCAGAAAUACCGAUAGAGACACCUUCAUUCAGCUCAAACUUUUCAACGGAAACUCCGAUGGU